GAUGGACGCUGGCGGCGUGCCUAACACAUGCAAGUCGAACGGAGUCCAGCCUUUAAGACCUUCGGGUCAAAGAGGGGAAGACUGAGUGGCGGACGGGUGAGUAACACGUGGGCAACCUGGCUCAUAGAGGGGGAUAACAGAGAGACAUUUCUGCUAAUACCGCAUAAGCACACACUGCCGCAUUGCAGAGGGUUAAAAGAGAAUCGCUAUGAGAUGGACCCGCGUCUGAUUAGCCAGUUGGCAGGGUAAGAGCCUACCAAAGCGACGAUCAGUAGCCGAUCUGAGAGGAGGAACGGCCACGUUGGGAAUGAGACACGGACCAAACUCCUACGGGAGGCAGCAGUGGGGGAUAUUGCACAAUGGGGGGAAACCUGAUGCAGCGACGCCGCGUGAGUGAAGAAGUAUUUCGGUAUGUAAAGCUCUAUCAGAAGGGAAGAUAAUGACAGUACCUGAAUAAGAAGCCCCGGCUAACUACGUG
rnacentral:rRNA from 1 species